CCCUUAGAUGUUCUGGGCCGCACGCGCGCUACACCGACACGUUCAUCAAGUCUAUAACCUUGACCGAGAGGUCUGGGUAAUCUUUUAAAAACGUGUCGUGCUGGGGAUAGAUUAUUGCAAUUAUUAAUCUUCAACGAGGAAUUCCUAGUAAACGCAAGUCAUCAACUUGCAUUGAUUACGUCCCUGCCCUUUGUACACACCGCCCGUCGCUACUACCGAUUGAAUGAUUUAGUGAGUACCAGGGACCGAGCGCUUUGGUUGGGUUUCCUUCCCUAGCGCUUGGGAACUGUCGCAAACUUGACCAUUUAGAGGAAGUAAAAGUCGUAACA
rnacentral:rRNA from 1 species